GAUGAACGCUGGCGGCGUGCCUAAUACAUGCAAGUCGAGCGAACAGACGAGGAGCUUGCUCCUCUGACGUUAGCGGCGGACGGGUGAGUAACACGUGGAUAACCUACCUAUAAGACUGGGAUAACUUCGGGAAACCGGAGCUAAUACCGGAUAAUAUAUUGAACCGCAUGGUUCAAUAGUGAAAGACGGUUUUGCUGUCACUUAUCGAUGGAUCCGCGCCGCAUUAGCUAGUUGGUAAGGUAACGGCUUACCAAGGCAACGAGGCGUAGCCGACCUGAGAGGGUGAUCGCCCACACUGGAACGGAGACACGGUCCAGACUCCUACGGGAGGCAGCAGUAGGGAAUCUUCCGCAAUGGGCGAAAGCCUGACGGAGCAACGCGGCGUGAGUGAUGAAGGUCUUCGGAUCGUAAAACUCUGUUAUUAGGGAAGAACAAAUGUGUAAGUAACUAUGCACGUCUUGACGGUACCUAAUCAGAAAGCCACGGCUAACUACGUG
rnacentral:rRNA from 1 species